rnacentral:rRNA from 1 species
GACGAACCGUGCGAACGUUAUUCGGAAUAACUGGGCUUAAAGGGAGCGUAGGCGGGCUAUCAAGUCUGGGGUGAAAUCCCACGGCUCAACCGUGGAACUGCCUUAGAUACUGACGGCCUCGAGGGAGAUAGGGGCAUGCGGAACUGUAGGUGGAGCGGUGAAAUGCGUAGAUAUCUAAGAGGAACGCCCAAGGCGAAGGCAGGCAGCUGGGCCCAAUUCUGACGCUGAGGCACGAAAGCGAUGGGGAGCAAACGGGGA